CACUCUUAUAAAUUGAAUCAUUUUAUAUGAAUAUAGUAAAUAAAGAUCACUAUUAACAACAAAUCUCUUGUCUCUUGCAUCGAUGAAGAACAUAGCGAAGUACUAUGAGUAGUGUUAUUUGCAGAAUUCCGCGAAUCAUCGAAUCUUUGAA
rnacentral:rRNA from 1 species